rnacentral:rRNA from 1 species
AUUGAACGCUGGCGGCAGGCCUAACACAUGCGAGUCGAACGGUAACAGGAAACAGCUUGCUGUUUCGCUGACGAGUGGCGGACGGGUGAGUAAUGUCUGGGAAACUGCCUGAUGGAGGGGGAUAACUACUGGAAACGGUAGCUAAUACCGCAUAACGUCGCAAGACCAAAGAGGGGGACCCUCGGGCCUCUUGCCAUCGGAUGUGCCCAGAUGGGAUUAGCUUGUUGGUGGGGUAACGGCUCACCAAGGCGACGAUCCCUAGCUGGUCUGAGAGGAUGACCAGCCACACUGGAACUGAGACACGGUCCAGACUCCUACGGGAGGCAGCAGUGGGGAAUAUUGCACAAUGGGCGCAAGCCUGAUGCAGCCAUGCCGCGUGUAUGAAGAAGGCCUUCGGGUUGUAAAGUACUUUCAGCGGGGAGGAAGGGAGUAAAGUUAAUACCUUUGCUCAUUGACGUUACCCGCAGAAGAAGCACCGGCUAACUCCGUG